AUUAUGGAGAGUUUGAUCCUGGCUCAGGACGAACGCUGGCGGCGUGCCUAAUACAUGCAAGUCGAGCGGAG
rnacentral:rRNA from 1 species